rnacentral:misc_RNA from 1 species
AACGCAUAUUGCACCCUUUGGUCUUCCGAAGGGUAUGCCUGUUUGAGUGUCAUUAACAUAUCAACACAUUCAAAUUGAAUUUGUGAUUGGAAAGAAUGAAGGCGUGCUGGCAACCACAUGUGGUUGAUCAGCUCCUUUUAAAUGCAUUAGCAGGACCUUUCAGGACUGGCUCCAGUUUGAUAAGCUUCAAUGUUAUCUAUGCUGUUGCUAGUAAUGACUCAGUCUAGCUUCUAAUGGUCUCCUUUGGGACUGCCUGAAACGGCACCAAUUUUUGACAUUGACCUCAAAUCAGGUAGGACUACCCGCUGAACUUAA